UGAUUUUCUUCCAGACAGACUUAUUGUUCAUUUAUUUUACUGGUGUAGUUAGUAAUUUUAUUAAUGUUUCAAAACACCUUCUUGAAAGAAAUCUUGGAGUGGAGAAUCAUUCUGAAAGUAGACCAAAUCCAGGACAACAUCACAGCAGUGGUCGGAAAAAUGCAGCAAGCCAAGCUGACUUUCAAAAGAUGAUUCGUUAUCUGUUUCUUCAGAGGGGAGGCAGUUUGGGAGAUGGGAAUUAGGACGAUGCUACAGUUACACAGGGCAAAUUUCAGCAGCUCAGUUUCAAACUUGCAACUAACAUUGAGUUAUAGUUAGAAGACCACGGAAAUAUUUGACAUCGGAGUCCAGGAGACAGCCAGAGACACGCACACACACGCAGCUGAAGCGCGUUUGACUGACGCGUACGGGAGAUCCGGCACGCGCACGGGCGCUCGCGCACGCUCACACAAACACGGA